UUGGAGUGGAGUCUGCAGAAGAUGUUGUCCCCCUGAUAUCUCUCCCACCGAUUAACAAUAUAGUUGAUUCAUCAUCGGAUUAGGUUUUGAACAAGGUAAAUGAGAUACAACAGUGUGUGGGAAUUACCUGCGAAGGAUUUGAGGACCAAUUCACAGCACUACUCACUCAAUAGAGGCAAUAGAGAGUUAAAGCGUCUUACUUGGACAAUCAACUAUGACGCUAAGGGAGGUAGUUCAAGUCGAG